rnacentral:misc_RNA from 1 species
GAUGAAGAACGCAGCGAAAUGCGAUACUUGGUGUGAAUUGCAGAAUCCCGUGAACCAUCGAGUCUUUGAACGCAAGUUGCGCCCGAAGCCAUCAGGUUGAGGGCACGUCUGCCUGGGCGUCACAUAUCGUUGCCCUAUGCCUAUUGCAGUGCAAUAGGAAUUUCUAGGGCGAAUGAUGGCUUCCCGUGAGCGUUGUUGCCUCGCGGUUGGUUGAAAAUCGAGUCCUUGGUAGGGUGUGCCAUGGUAGAUGGUGGUCGAGUUAGAACGAUACCGAUCAUGUGCAUGCUCCCCAAAAUAUGGCCUCUAUGACCCACACGCGUCUUUUGACGCUCAUGACGAGACCUCAGGUCAGGCGGGGCUACCCGCUGAAUUUAAGCAUAUCAAUAAGCGGAGGA